rnacentral:lncRNA from 1 species
CCCUUCCCUCUCUCCUAAUGCCUGCACCUUGUGUCUCCCCCAUUAUAUAUACUCCAUCUUGGAUCUCUCCAUCUGCAUUCCAACCACAGUCCACGUCAUCCACAAGAACCAGUCCACCAUCAGCCCACUCUAACCACUUAGGUGUCCUCUGGUGUUGUCUUUCCUCUUUUCUUUUAGAUCUCUUCUCCCCAUCUCUCCUACAUCUGACUUUCCAAUCCUGGCCAGAUUGCUCAGGGUCAUAUUUGACGACUACACUUAUCUCUGGCACCCAUAUCCGAUACCCAUGCCACACAGGGUACAUCAAGGCAAAGUGAUGAGUCUAGGAAUCCUAGAGGCAAUGACAAGGUACCAAAGUUUUUAUUUGCUCAAUAAAAUUUGAACCCAUAAGAGCUUUCCUACCAAAAAUUUAAUGUGCUUAAUUCCAUUUACAUCCAUAAGUGGUUGCCCACUAUAUAUAUCAAAGCCAUAGAAAUUCACCCCAAUACAUGAUCAGAAUAACAAAAUGCAAGCACCUAAAAUGACCAUCCACCAAAACCAUGUAGAACAGCAACAAAUUGCAACACAGCAACAAAUUGCAACACCUACCCAUCCACCUAACCCCAACCCUGCCCACAAACAUGUAAUGUUUCU